AAGUAGGAGAGCACACAUUGGGAGGCUCAACCGCCAUUUCCCUCUUGGCUCUCUAAGAGGGUGGGCAGAUCUGGAUUCUAAGCCAUUUCACAGCAAACACGCGUCUCUAACCACCAGCAUUGGCUUAAUUGGGGCUGCUUCCAAACCAGGUCCUCUCCUGCCUGCUACUUCCUAAAAAAGAAGCAAAACCACCGAGGAUUUUGCUGCAGGAUCCGAGGAAACCCCAGGCUUUGUCACUUGAGAAUGGGGUUCUCCAAAGAAACCCACGUAAGUCACUACAGACUGUUGCCAUGGGGACAGCAUACCCUCACAGGCAGCCAAAGGCAAGACUGAGGAUGGGUCAUGUGACCAGACGGCAGCCAGUGGUCCCUGGCAGUUUGAGAGAGAGAAUCCAAAAGAUGGAGAGAGUGGAAGCAUCAAAAGAUAAAACACGCAAGAGACACAGGAGAAGAGUUCUGGGGACCACAGGAGAAAGGGCAGAAAGGACAUCUGGCGAGCACGUGAAGGAAAGACAUCGCGCUAGCACGUGGAGGAGAAGACAGCGGGAGGGGGGCGGGGGGAAGCACGCGGAGGAGAGGACAUGGGGCGAGCGCGUGGAGGAGAGGAUAUUGGACGAGCGAGGGGAGGAGAGGACAUGGGGCGAGCAGGUGGAGAAGAGGCCAUUGGGUGAGCAUGUUGAAAGAACAUCUGGCGAGCGCUUGAAAGCAAGAAAGACAAGCGUAGGGCAGAAGGAGCGAGCAUGAGCGAGCAGUGCGCCAAGAGAAUGAGAAGGAUGGAGAGCUGUUCCUAGCAAAACCAGGGGAAGGGGGGACCUAAUAAGAAGCAAUUAGAAGGAAAGUGAAAAGACUUAUUCUAGGAGUUUGGUGUUAAAAAGCAAAUGAAGUGGAAAUUUUGUAAGUGUUAAACUCUACCCAAAAACAGUAUGAGGGGAAAUUUUCACACAGUAUAACUUAAAACAAGU
rnacentral:lncRNA from 1 species